CACGUAGGGUGCGAGCGUUGUCCGGAAUUAUUGGGCGUAAAGAGCUCGUAGGCGGUGUGUCGCGUCGGCCGUGAAAACCUGCAGCUUAACUGUGGGCUUGCGGUCGAUACGGGCAUCACUGGAGUUCGGCAGGGGAGACUGGAAUUCCUGGUGUAGCGGUGAAAUGCGCAGAUAUCAGGAGGAACACCGGUGGCGAAGGCGGGUCUCUGGGCCGAUACUGACGCUGAGGAGCGAAAGCAUGGGGAGCAAACAGG
rnacentral:rRNA from 1 species